rnacentral:tRNA from 1 species
GGCUCAGUUUGUGGAGUGUUUACCUAGUAUGUAAAAGUCCUGGGUUCAAUUCCCUG